GAUGAAGAACGUAGCGGAAUGCGAUAAGUAAUGUGAAUUGCAGAAUUCAGUGAAUCAUCGAAUCUUUGAACGCACCUUGCGCCCUUUGGCAUUCCGAAGGGCAUGCCUGUUUGAGUAUCAUGAACACCUCAACUCUUCAUGGUUUUCCAUGAUGAGCUUGGACUUUGGGGGUCUUGCUGGCCUGCGGUCGGCUCCUCUCAAAUGAAUCAGCUUACCAGUGUUUGGUGGGCAUCACAGGUGUGAUAACUAUCUGCGCUUGUGGUUUUCCACCAAGUAACCUUCAGCAGUGGAGGUUCACUGGAGCUCACAGACGUCUCUCCUCAGUGAGGACAGCCCUUUGAAUGUUUGAUCUCAAAUCAGGUAGGACUACCCGCUGAACUUAAGCAUAUCAAUAAGCGGAGGA
rnacentral:misc_RNA from 1 species